rnacentral:misc_RNA from 1 species
UGGUUCUGGCAUCGAUGAAGAACGCAGCGAAAUGCGAUAAGUAAUGUGAAUUGCAGAAUUCAGUGAAUCAUCGAAUCUUUGAACGCACAUUGCGCCCCGUGGUAUUCCGCGGGGCAUGCCUGUUCGAGCGUCAUUUCAACCAAUCAAGCCUCGGCUUGGUCUUGGGGUUUGCGGUCCCGCAUCCCCUAAACUUAGUGGCGGUGCGAUUGAGCUCUGAGCGUAGUAAUUUUUCUCGCUAUAGGGUCUCGGUCGUGACUUGCCAGCAACCCCCAAUUUUUUAUCAGGUUGACCUCGGAUCAGGUAGGGAUACCCGCUGA